UGAGUACGAGCUGCUACGGCAGCGAAGUGGGUGACGUCAAGCUUCCAAGAAAAGCCCUACACCCGUUAAGGCAUGAUGGCCUGUACCCGAAACCGACACAGGUAGGAUGGUAGAGAAUACCGAGGGGCGCGAGGUAACUCUCUCUAAGGAACUCGGCAAAAUGGCCCCGUAACUUCGGGAGAAGGGGUGCCACCGCAAGGUGGUCGCAGUGAAGAGGCCCAGGCGACUGUUUACCAAAAACACAGGUCUCCGCUAAGUCGCAAGACGAUGUAUGGGGGCUGACGCCUGCCCAGUGCCGGAAGGUUAAGGAAGCUGGUCAGCGCAAGCGAAGCUGGCGACUGAAGCCCCGGUGAACGGCGGCCGUAACAAUAACGGUCCUAAGGUAGCGAAAUUCCUUGUCGGGUAAGUUCCGACCCGCACGAAAGGCGUAACGAUCUGGGCGCUGUCUCGGAGAGAGGCUCGGCGAAAUAGAAUUGUCUGUGAAGAUGCGGACUACGUGCACCCGGACAGAAAGACCCUAUGAAGCUUUACUGUAGCUUGGUAUUGUGCCCGGGCUCUGAAUGCGCAGGAUAGGUGGGAGGCUUUGAUCAACAGCUUGCGGGUUGUUGUGAGCCAACGGUGAGAUACCACUCUUUCAGAGCUAGGGUUCUAACGGUCACCCGUUAUCCGGGGACCGGACAGUAUCAGGUGGGCAGUUUGACUGGGGCGGUCGCCUCCUAAAAGGUAACGGAGGCGCGCAAAGGUUUGCUCAGGCUGGUUGGAAAUCAGCCGACGAGUGUAAAAGCAGAAGCGAGCUUGACUGUGAGACCUACAAGUCAAACAGGGACGAAAGUCGGCUUUAGUGAUCCGACGGUUCUGAGUGGAAGGGCCGUCGCUCAACGGAUAAAAGUUACUCUAGGAUAACAGGCUGAUCUCCCCCAAGAGUUCACAUCGACGGGGAGGUUUGGCACCUCGAUGUCGGCUCAUCGCAACCUGGGGCUGAAGUCGGUCCCAAGGGUUGGGCUGUUCGCCCAUUAAAGCGGUACGCGAGCUGGGUUCAGAACGUCGUGAGACAGUUCGGUCCAUAUCCGGUGCAUGCGCAGGAAUAUUGAGAGGAGUUCUCCCUAGUACGAGAGGACCGGGAGGAACGCACCUCUGGUGUACCAGUUAUCGUGCCAACGGUAAACGCUGGGUAGCCAUGUGCGGAGAGGAUAACCGCUGAAAGCAUCUAAGUGGGAAGCCCACCUCAAGAUGAGUAUUCCCAUGGCAUAAGCCAGUAAGGUCACGGGAAGAACACCCGUUGAUAGGCUCUACGUGGAAGCGCAGUAAUGCGUGAAGCGGAGGAGUACUAAUAGACCGAGGGCUUGACCU
rnacentral:rRNA from 1 species